CCUACGGGAGGCAGCAGUGAGGAAUAUUGGUCAAUGGCCGGAAGGCUGAACCAGCCAUGCCGCGUGAAGGUCAGUGCCCUAUGGGCGUUAAACUUCUUUUGUGCGGGAGCAAUAAUGGUCACGUGUGGCCAGACGAGAGUACCGUACGAAUAAGCAUCGGCUAACUCCGUGCCAGCAGCCGCGGUAAUACGGGGGAUGCAAGCGUUAUCCGGGAUUAUUGGGGUUAAAGGGUGCGUAGGCUGUGAGGUAAGUCAGCGGUGAAAUGCCCCCGCUCAACGGGGUGAAGUGCCAUUGAUACUGUCUUGCUGGAAUGCGGAUGCCGUGGGAGGAAUGUGUGGUGUAGCGGUGAAAUGCAUAGAUAUCACACAGAACACCGAUUGCGAAGGCAUCUCACGAAUCCGCGAUUGACGCUGAUGCACGAAAGCGUGGGUAUCAAACAGGAUUAGAUACCCGAGUAGUC
rnacentral:rRNA from 1 species